rnacentral:rRNA from 1 species
UAGGGAAUCUUCGGCAAUGGACGAAAGUCUGACCGAGCAACGCCGCGUGAGUGAAGAAGGUUUUCGGAUCGUAAAACUCUGUUGUUAGAGAAGAACAAGGACGUUAGUAACUGAACGUCCCCUGACGGUAUCUAACCAGAAAGCCACGGCUAACUACGUGCCAGCAGCCGCGGUAAUACGUAGGUGGCAAGCGUUGUCCGGAUUUAUUGGGCGUAAAGCGAGCGCAGGCGGUUUCUUAAGUCUGAUGUGAAAGCCCCCGGCUCAACCGGGGAGUGUCAUUGGAAUCUGGGAGACUUGAGUGCAGAAGAGGAGAGUGGAAUUCCAUGUGUAGCGGUGAAAUGCGUAGAUAUAUGGAGGAACACCAGUGGCGAAGGCGGCUCUCUGGUCUGUACCUGACGCUGAGGCUCGAAAGCGUGGGGAGCAAACAGG